rnacentral:scRNA from 1 species
AGUGGCCCCACCGGCAGUAUAGCCGGUUCCGC